rnacentral:lncRNA from 1 species
AUAUAUAUAUAUAUAUAGGGGAGCGAUCCAUAGCAUCUAUAUGCUAUGGGAUAAAAAAUGGCAUAUAGGCUCUAAUCCGUCCGUUUUAUUGAUGAAAGGCUGCGAUCAAAUUUGGGCUUACACCAUCCGCUAGUAUUACUAGCGGACGCAAUUAGUAUAAAUUCUGGACACUUAAGACCCUCCAGUUUACCCUCCAAUAGAUGUGUAGUACAGGUUCCGCUAGUAAUACUAGCGGACUUAAAAUUUUGUGUGAAAGGUGACCUAAUACAUAUAUAUUUACAAGAACACACACGAAUGCUUGAAACACUAAAGUUGUAUACUUAAAUAUUUUAGAACAUCCAUGCAUGGUGAAAUAAAUCAUUUUUUUGUCCAACUUUGGCUACUGAAUCUGCUAGAUCACUGACUUGAUAUACA